UAGUAUAAGGUAUAUUAGUACAUAAGGUAUGUACAUUAGUAAUUAAGGUUCAUGUUGUUAUAUUCAAUAGGUGUUAGUUGAUGAAUCAGCUCAUAAGCCAGUGUAUGCUGAUCUGGCUAUUGCUGCUAAAGGGAAGAGACCACAGGCAGCACCAACACAAGAACAACCAGUGGUAUAUGCAUCAGUUAACAACAAAUCUGUUCCUCCUCCCAUUCCUCCUCCAGCUGCUCCUCAUAAAGUAUUGUAUGCUGAUCUAUCAAUAGCAGCUGGUAAGAGAA